UACGAAGGGGGCUAGCGUUGCUCGGAAUCACUGGGCGUAAAGCGCACGUAGGCGGCUUUCUAAGUCAGGGUGAAAUCCUGGAGCUCAACUCCAGAACUGCCUUUGAUACUGGAGAGCUAGAGUCCGGAAGAGGUGAGUGGAACUGCGAGUGUAGAGGUGAAAUUCGUAGAUAUUCGCAAGAACACCAGUGGCGAAGGCGGCUCACUGGUCCGGUACUGACGCUGAGGUGCGAAAGCGUGGGAGCAAACAGG
rnacentral:rRNA from 1 species